UAAUUUUAUUAUAUGAUUAAAUUUUUAUUUUAGUGAAAAAAUUAAACCAAUUGAAAGGAGAGAAAUGUCAUGAUUGCAUGUACAGAGUAUCUCAUAGUUUUUCAAGUGAGAAAUUUAAUACAUUUUCUCUUUUUCCUUUUUAUUAUUUUAAUCAUUUUAAUACUGAAAAACUCUAUUGAAAUACUCUCGAUAGAGAUGGUCUUAUAGUGAGAUCAUACUAUCUAUGUAUAAACUACACUAAACUAAUAGUAUAUGCAAUUAGCUAGGUAGCAGAUAGAGGUUGACCGCAUCUCAAU
rnacentral:sRNA from 1 species